AUUGAACGCUGGCGGCAGGCCUAACACAUGCAAGUCGAGCGGAUGAAGAGAGCUUGCUCUCUGAUUCAGCGGCGGACGGGUGAGUAAUGCCUAGGAAUCUGCCUGGUAGUGGGGGACAACGUUUCGAAAGGAACGCUAAUACCGCAUACGUCCUACGGGAGAAAGUGGGGGAUCUUCGGACCUUACGCUAUCAGAUGAGCCUAGGUACGAUUAGCUAGUUGGUGAGGUAAAGGCUCACCAAGGCGACGAUCGUUAACUGGUCUGAGAGGAUGAUCAGUCACACUGGAACUGAGACACGGUCCAGACUCCUACGGGAGGCAGCAGUGGGGAAUAUUGGACAAUGGGCGAAAGCCUGAUCCAGCCAUGCCGCGUGUGUGAAGAAGGUCUUCGGAUUGUAAAGCACUUUAAGUUGGGAGGAAGGGCAGUAAGUUAAUACCUUGCUGUUUUGACGUUACCGACAGAAUAAGCACCGGCUAACUUCGUGCCAGCCGCCGCCGUAAAAC
rnacentral:rRNA from 1 species